UACGUAGGGUGCGAGCGUUAAUCGGAAUUACUGGGCGUAAAGCGUGCGCAGGCGGUUGUGCAAGACAGAUGUGAAAUCCCCGGGCUUAACCGUGGGAACUGCAUUUGUGACUGCACGGCUAGAGUGUGUCAGAGGGGGGUAGAAUUCCACGUGUAGCAGUGAAAUGCGUAGAUAUGUGGAGGAAUACCGAUGGCGAAGGCAGCCCCCUGGGAUAACACUGACGCUCAUGCACGAAAGCGUGGGGAGCAAACAGG
rnacentral:rRNA from 1 species